rnacentral:rRNA from 1 species
GAUGAACGCUGGCGGCGUGCCUAAUACAUGCAAGUCGAGCGAACAGACGAGGAGCUUGCUCCUCUGACGUUAGCGGCGGACGGGUGAGUAACACGUGGAUAACCUACCUAUAAGACUGGGAUAACUUCGGGAAACCGGAGCUAAUACCGGAUAAUAUAUUGAACCGCAUGGUUCAAUAGUGAAAGACGGUUUUGCUGUCACUUAUAGAUGGAUCCGCGCCGCAUUAGCUAGUUGGUAAGGUAACGGCUUACCAAGGCAACGAUGCGUAGCCGACCUGAGAGGUUGAUCGGCCACACUGGAACUGAGACACGGUCCAGACUCCUAAGGGAGGCAGCAGUAGGGAAUCUUCCGCAAUGGGCGAAAGCCUGACGGAGCAACGCCGCGUGAGUGAUGAAGGUCUUCGGAUCGUAAAACUCUGUUAUUAGGGAAGAACAAAUGUGUAAGUAAAUAUGCACGUCUUGACGGUACCUAAUCAGAAAGCCACGGCUAACUACGUG